GGGGCUGUAGCUCAAUGGUAGAGCACUCGCCUAGCAUGCGUGAGGCACUGGAUUCAAUCCUCAGCACCA
rnacentral:tRNA from 1 species